UUUUCUGUGAUUAAAACAUAAAUUAUGACUAAAAAAUGAAUGGUUUAAUGGCGUGUAAAUGCUAUUAACUUUCAUUGCAUUUUUUAAUUUGUUUCAUGGUUAAACCUGAAAAAAUGAACAUAUUUUUUGUCCUUCUUUUUUUUCCAAGCUUUAACACCAUUUUUUUUUUUCUCUUCAGGUUGUUAGGGAGCAUAUUUUAAAUCACGAUCAUAUUUUCAAUCACGAAGAUAUGAUAUAGUGAAAAUCAAUUAGUUGAAAAUCAUAGUCUCAAGUGUAAUAAGUUAUGUGGAUUCAAUUAAAAAUGAAGCGCAAGAUUGCAAUAAUUGGAGUUUGACUAAUUGGAUGUGUAGAGCUCCUUUCAACAAAAGAAAGGAUUUGUAGAAUUGAACAAAAAUAAUAAAAGUUGUAAAAAAAAUGUACAGAGUAGUAUAUUUUUAAUCAAACUUUAUAUUUUUAGAGUUGUGUAUAUUAAAAAUUUGAUUAAAGU
rnacentral:lncRNA from 1 species